CUUAUCACUCCCUACAACUCCCAGAAAGGAGGAGGUGGUGAGGUGGGGGUUGGCCUCUUCUCCCAGUGUGUCAGUGCAGUAACAAGCUAGUCUUGCUGAAUGAUGAUGAGCAGAUAUAUCUUCAUCACAAACAUAGUGUCAUCAUGACCUGGAGUACUGACUACAAAGCCACAUUCCAUUACGCUGGAGCUGCAGAAAGAAUACAAAGAAAUGGAUGGCUGAUGGGCUCAAAGCAACUGACAGCAGCUGCUCAACUUCACCCUGGGCAAAACCAGAAAGGGGUUGUUGAGGAUGGUGAGAGGAGGAAGAAGGAAGAAAGAGAAGGCACAAAGCAUGAGUAGUGUCAUGCACUUGCAGCAAUCUCUGCAAUCCUGAAUCAGCCCUGUAUGCAUCCCUUGAAGAUACAGAUAUGGACACUGCAUGCAGUCCAACACACAGAAAGGAAGAGGAAAUGUAUGUCACAAAGCAACAUUUCAUGCAGAACAGCAGGGAAAGACUGGAUGGUAACCCAAUUAAAGGCAGAUCAGAAAUCUUUCAAAGCCAUUUAUA